rnacentral:rRNA from 1 species
GACGAACGCUGGCGGCGUGCCUAAUACAUGCAAGUCGAGCGAAGUUUUUCUGGUGCUUGCACUAGAAAAACUUAGCGGCGAACGGGUGAGUAACACGUAAAGAACCUGCCUCAUAGACUGGGACAACUAUUGGAAACGAUAGCUAAUACCGGAUAACAGUAUUUCUCGCAUGAGAGAUAUUUAAAAGUUGGUUAUGCUAACACUAUGAGAUGGCUUUGCGGUGCAUUAGCUAGUUGGUGGGGUAAAGGCCCACCAAGGCGACGAUGCAUAGCCGACCUGAGAGGGUGAUCGGCCACACUGGGACUGAGACACGGCCCAGACUCCUACGGGAGGCAGCAGUAGGGAAUCUUCCGCAAUGGGCGAAAGCCUGACGGAGCAACGCCGCGUGAGUGAAGAAGGAUUUCGGUUCGUAAAGCUCUGUUGUUAGGGAAGAAUGGAUAUGUAGUAACUAUACAUGUAAGAGACGGUACCUAACCAGAAAGCCACGGCUAACUACGUGCCAGCAGCCGCGGUAAUACGUAGGUGGCAAGCGUUGUCCGGAAUUAUUGGGCGUAAAGCGCGCGCAGGUGGUUUAAUAAGUCUGAUGUGAAAGCCCACGGCUCAACCGUGGAGGGUCAUUGGAAACUGUCAAACUUGAGUGCAGGAGAGAAAAGUGGAAUUCCUAGUGUAGCGGUGAAAUGCGUAGAGAUUAGGAGGAACACCAGUGGCGAAGGCGGCUUUUUGGCCUGUAACUGACACUGAGGCGCGAAAGCGUGGGGAGCAAACAGG